GCGAAGCGCUGGAGUCUCUUUCUUUUGCGCGGCAAGAGGGGGGGUGUUUGGUAUGGUACUGAGGGGAUUGGGGGUGUGUCUUGGUAGAAUACUGAGGGAUUGAGAAAUCUCUUGGUAUAAUUACUGAGAGGCUUUGGUAAGAUUACUGAGAGAUUAAUUAAAAAUCUCUUGGUAAGAUUACUGAGGACUCUUGGUAUACUGAGAUGAACCCUUCCCUUUGGUAUAGUACUAAAGACCCAGAGACUCCAGGGUGGAGGGCAAGGGGAUCCUGCGAACUUCGCCUUAGGGCGAAGGGAGUAAGGAGAGAGGGAAGAGGGAGAGGCGAAGAGAGUUUGGGGUGGCGCGCUGGAUUUUUUUUUCCCCGGCGCCGCAGGCCGCAAAAAUUUAACAGUGACGAUGAUUGAAGAUGAUUACUGCGAAUUGCAGCCACUUACUUGGGCCUCAGGUAGUGCGCGUACCCAAAAAUAGCAGUUUGUUUUGGUUUCUGGGGAAGUUUUAUCAGGUUCCGGGUGUCCGGGCUUGGGCUUUUAUGUGGUUUUAUGUGGUUUUUGGUGGUUUUAGAGGGUUUGGGUUUUUUUUUAGAGGGUCGGAAAGAUGGUGUUUGGGUUUUUUGUGGGUUCGGAAAGAUGGUGUUUAGGUUUUUAUGGGUUCGGAAUAAUGGUGAUCGGGUUUUUUGUGGGUUCGGAAUAAUGGUGAUUGGGUUUUUAGGACUUGGUCGUGUCGAAAUCAUUUGGACCUGGCCUAGACCGGGCCCAGGCUGACGUGUGAAACCCAACUCGGGUUGUAGACGUUGGAUGGGGUUGGAAAUGGGUUGUAGGGGGUUUCUGAGGGCUGUAUUAUGGGUAUGGUUAAUAUCUUUGGGUUUCAGUGGGUUUUGGAAUUUUUGAAAAUCGCCAAAUUGGCUUGGCUUGGUCCCCCACUUGGGUCCCCCCACUCGGGUCCUACAGUAUGGGGUCGUGUCAGAUGCAACUUGGCCAAUAUUGAUUGUUUCACAUUCAAACUACGGUGGGAUAUGGGCCCACGAUGGACCCAAAGGUUGGUGCAAUAUUGGGUGGAUUCAAUCAAUUUUCAAUUUUUAAGGCUGUUUUAUAGUUAUUUAAAAUUGUCGCUACUUCAAAAUAUAUUUACAUUUCGCAGAUAUUCACUAGGAAUGGCUGAGAAGUGUGAAUUAACUAUGGGGGGGUGGGAAAAAAGGUGGGAGCGCGGGUAUCGAGGGGAGUCACGUGCGCAUGGGACACGUACGAGGGCCACGUAUGAGGGCCACGUAUGAGGGCCACGUAUCGGAGAUGGGUCUGAUCAAAGCUCACGUGAGGGUCACGUGUGUAAAGUGACUGUGAAGUGACUGGGACGAGGGAGUCACGUGUAGGGGGGCAUCGGAGCCGAGGCCGGGGAGGGUCAGGUGCUCCAAAAUGACUGGGAUGUGACUGGGACGAGGGAAUCACGAGGGAAUCAUGUGCGGGAUGGGGUCGGGGCCGAGUUUCUCACGUGUGGGAGCAUGUGUGGGUUCACGAUGGGGUCGGGGCCGAGUUUCUCACGUGUGGGAGCAUGUGUGGGUUCACGUGUGCCAAAAUGACUGAGAUCUGACUGGGAUCUGACUGGAUUUGACCGGAUCUGACCCGUACCUCAGUGCACGUGAGGAUUCACGUGCGUGAAAGUGACUGGGACGUGACUGGGACGUGACUGGGACGUGACUCCGAGGGCGUGCACGUGAGUUUGGGUUUCGCACACCCAAAUUAGUAUGCGGGG
rnacentral:misc_RNA from 1 species